rnacentral:rRNA from 1 species
UACUGCCUGUUCWGAGCWYWUCCGCCAUUUCCCGUUGAUGAUCUUCAUCGGUUGUCGUCGGGGCAUGGCAAGUUUACUUUGAAAAAAUUAGAGUGCUCAAAGCAUGCGUGACGCAUGAAUAAUGGUGCAUGGAAUAAUGGAAUAGGACCUCGGKUCUAUUUUGUUGGUUUUCGGAACACGAGGUAAUGAUUAAGAGGGACAGACGGGGGCAUUCGUAUUGCGACGCUAGAGGUGAAAUUCUUGGACCGUCGCAAGACGAACUACUGCGAAAGCAUUUGCCAAGAAUGUUUCCAUUAAUCAAGAACGAAAGUUAGAGGUUCGAAGGCGAUCAGAUACCGCCCUAGUUCUAACCAUAAACGAUGCCAGCCAGCGAUCCGGCUGUGUUCCUCAAAUGACACGCCGGGCAGCUUCCGGGAAACCAAAGCUUUUGGGUUCCGGGGGAAGUAUGGUUGCAAAGCUGAAACUUAAAGGAAUUGACGGAAGGGCACCACCAGGAAUGGAGCCUGCGGCUUAAUUUGACUCAACACGGGAAAGCUUACCCGGAUAGGACACAGGAAGGAUUGACAGAUUAAGAGCUCUUUCUUGAUUCUGUGGAAGGUGGUGCAUGGCCAUUCUUAGUUGGUGGAGUGAUUUGUCUGGUUAAUUCCGAUAACGAUCGAGACUCUAGCCUACUAAAUAGACGUUCCGAUCCUUGUUGUCGGACGUUCUUCUUAGAGGGACACGCGGCGUUUAGCCGCACGAGACAGAGCAAUAGUAGGUCUGUGAUGCCCUUAGAUGUCCGGGGCCGCACGCGCGCUACAUUGAAGGAAUCAGCGUGUGCUUUCCCUGCCCGAGUGGGCUGGGUAACCCGUUGAACCUCCUUCGUGCUUGGGAUAGGCGAUUGUAAUUAUCCGCCUUGAACGAGGAAUUCCCAGUAAGCACGAGUCAUCAGCUCGUGUUGAUUACGUCCCUGCCCUUUGUGCACACCGCCCGUCGCUACAUCCGAUGGAAUGAUUUAG